AUUGAACGCUGGCGGCAUGCCUUACACAUGCAAGUCGAACGGUAACAGGUCUUCGGAUGCUGACGAGUGGCGAACGGGUGAGUAAUACAUCGGAACGUGCCCGAUCGUGGGGGAUAACGAAGCGAAAGCUUUGAUAAUACCGCAUACGAUCUACGGAGGAAAGCAGGGGACCGAAAGGCCUUGCGCGAACGGAGCGGCCGAUGGCAGAUUAGGUAGUGGGUGGGAUAAAAGCUUACCAAGCCGACGAUCUGUAGCUGGUCUGAGAGGACGACCAGCCACACUGGGACUGAGACACGGCCCAGACUCCUACGGGAGGCAGCAGUGGGGAAUUUUGGACAAUGGGCGAAAGCCUGAUCCAGCCAUGCCGCGUGCAGGAUGAAGGCCUUCGGGUUGUAAACUGCUUUUGUACGGAACGAAAAGACUCUGGUUAAUACCUGGGGUCCAUGACGGUACCGUAAGAAUAAGCACCGGCUAACUACGUGCCAGCCGCCGCCGUAAUAC
rnacentral:rRNA from 1 species